CCUACGGGGGGCUGCAGUGGGGAAUAUUGGACAAUGGGGGCAACCCUGAUCCAGCCAUGCUGCGUGUGUGAAGAAGGCCCUCGGGUUGUAAAGCACUUUCAGUGAGGAAGAACGCCUGGUGGUUAAUACCCAUCAGGAAAGACAUCACUCACAGAAGAAGCACCGGCUAACUCCGUGCCAGCAGCCGCGGUAAUACGGAGGGUGCGAGCGUUAAUCGGAAUUACUGGGCGUAAAGCGCGCGUAGGUGGCUUGAUAAGCCGGUUGUGAAAGCCCCGGGCUCAACCUGGGAACGGCAUCCGGAACUGUCAAGCUAGAGUGCAGGAGAGGAAGGUAGAAUUCCCGGUGUAGCGGUGAAAUGCGUAGAGAUCGGGAGGAAUACCAGUGGCGAAGGCGGCCUUCUGGACUGACACUGACACUGAGGUGCGAAAGCGUGGGUAGCAAACAGGAUUAGAUACCCUUGUAGUC
rnacentral:rRNA from 1 species